rnacentral:rRNA from 1 species
AGUGAACGCUGGCGGUAGGCCUAACACAUGCAAGUCGAACGGCAGCACAGUAAGAGCUUGCUCUUACGGGUGGCGAGUGGCGGACGGGUGAGGAAUACAUCGGAAUCUACUUUUUCGUGGGGGAUAACGUAGGGAAACUUACGCUAAUACCGCAUACGACCUACGGGUGAAAGCAGGGGAUCUUCGGACCUUGCGCGAUUGAAUGAGCCGAUGUCGGAUUAGCUAGUUGGCGGGGUAAAGGCCCACCAAGGCGACGAUCCGUAGCUGGUCUGAGAGGAUGAUCAGCCACACUGGAACUGAGACACGGUCCAGACUCCUACGGGAGGCAGCAGUGGGGAAUGUUGGACAAUGGGCGCAAGCCUGAUCCAGCCAUACCGCGUGGGUGAAGAAGGCCUUCGGGUUGUAAAGCCCUUUUGUUGGGAAAGAAAAGCAGCAGGUUAAUACCCCGCUGUUCUGACGGUACCCAAUGAAUAAGCACCGGCUAACUUCGUG